rnacentral:pre_miRNA from 1 species
AGGGGGAGAGCAGGAUCCUGGGCUGUGUCCCCAGCGCCCUGGGCUCCGGGGUCUGCACUGCUGGAAUCGCGCUCCUGGGGCGCGCAGCCCCCU